rnacentral:rRNA from 1 species
AGAGUUUGAUCAUGGCUCAGAUUGAACGCUGGCGGCAGGCCUAACACAUGCAAGUCGAACGGUAACAGGAAACAGCUUGCUGUUUCGCUGACGAGUGGCGGACGGGUGAGUAAUGUCUGGGAAACUGCCUGAUGGAGGGGGAUAACUACUGGAGACGGUAGCUAAUACCGCAUAACGUCGCAAGACCAAAGAGGGGGACCCUCGGGCCUCUUGCCAUCGGAUGUGCCCAGAUGGGAUUAGCUUGUUGGUGGGGUAACGGCUCACCAAGGCGACGAUCCCUAGCUGGUCUGAGAGGAUGACCAGCCACACUGGAACUGAGACACGGUCCAGACUCCUACGGGAGGCAGCAGUGGGGAAUAUUGCACAAUGGGCGCAAGCCUGAUGCAGCCAUGCCGCGUGUAUGAAGAAGGCCUUCGGGUUGUAAAGUACUUUCAGCGGGGAGGAAGGGAGUAAAGUUAAUACCUUUGCUCAUUGACGUUACCCGCAGAAGAAGCACCGGCUAACUCCGUGCCAGCAGCCGCGGUAAUACGGAGGGUGCAAGCGUUAAUCGGAAUUACUGGGCGUAAAGCGCACGCAGGCGGUUUGUUAAGUCAGAUGUGAAAUCCCCGGGCUCAACCUGGGAACUGCAUCCAAAACUACUGAGCUAGAGUACGGUAGAGGGUGGUGGAAUUUCCUGUGUAGCGGUGAAAUGCGUAGAGAUCUGGAGGAAUACCGGUGGCGAAGGCGGCCCCCUGGACGAAGACUGACGCUCAGGUGCGAAAGCGUGGGGAGCAAACAGGAUUAGAUACCCUGGUAGUCCACGCCGUAAACGAUGUCGACUUGGAGGUUGUGCCCUUGAGGCGUGGCUUCCGGAGCUAACGCGUUAAGUCGACCGCCUGGGGAGUACGGCCGCAAGGUUAAAACUCAAAUGAAUUGACGGGGGCCCGCACAAGCGGUGGAGCAUGUGGUUUAAUUCGAUGCAACGCGAAGAACCUUACCUGGUCUUGACAUCCACGGAAGUUUUCAGAGAUGAGAAUGUGCCUUCGGGAACCGUGAGACAGGUGCUGCAUGGCUGUCGUCAGCUCGUGUUGUGAAAUGUUGGGUUAAGUCCCGCAACGAGCGCAACCCUUAUCCUUUGUUGCCAGCGGUCCGGCCGGGAACUCAAAGGAGACUGCCAGUGAUAAACCGAGGAAGGUGGGGAUGACGUCAAGUCAUCAUGGCCCUUACGACCAGGGCUACACACGUGCUACAAUGGCGCAUACAAAGAGAAGCGACCUCGCGAGAGCAAGCGGACCUCAUAAAGUGCGUCGUAGUCCGGAUUGGAGUCUGCAACUCGACUCCAUGAAGUCGGAAUCGCUAGUAAUCGUGGAUCAGAAUGCCACGGUGAAUACGUUCCCGGGCCUUGUACACACCGCCCGUCACACCAUGGGAGUGGGUUGCAAAAGAAGUAGGUAGCUUAACCUUCGGGAGGGCGCUUACCACUUUGUGAUUCAUGACUGGGGUGAAGUCGUAACAAGGUA